CAGUCGCCGCGGGAAUACGGAGGGGGCUAGCGUUGUUCGGAAUUACUGGGCGUAAAGCGCACGUAGGCGGCUUUGUAAGUUAGAGGUGAAAGCCUGGGGCUCAACUCCAGAAUUGCCUUUAAGACUGCAUCGCUUGAACGUCGGAGAGGUGAGUGGAAUUCCGAGUGUAGAGGUGAAAUUCGUAGAUAUUCGGAAGAACACCAGUGGCGAAGGCGGCUCACUGGACGACUGUUGACGCUGAGGUGCGAGAGCGUGGGGAGCAAACAGGAUUAGAUACCCGAGUAGUCCCUGUCUCUUAUAC
rnacentral:rRNA from 1 species